rnacentral:rRNA from 1 species
CCUACGGGAGGCAGCAGUAGGGAAUAUUGCGCAAUGGACGAAAGUCUGACGCAGCGACGCCGCGUGAGUGAUGAAGGCCUUAGGGUCGUAAAGCUCUGUUGCAGGGGAAGAAAAAAAUGACGGUACCCUGCGAGAAAGGAUCGGCUAACUUCGUGCCAGCAGCCGCGGUAAU